GUUAUCGGAAAUGUACGGCCGCAUUUUGAAGGAAAGUUAUAGGAAAGUCUUUCCCUUCAAAAUGUUACGGUUAAAUUGUCAUCAACUUUAAAUAGAAAAUUGCGAUCAACUUAACCACAAUAAUUGUUAGGUAAAAAUUUUCUAGUAAGUUGUAUAUAAGUAAUUUCACCAAAAAAUAGGUUAGAAUAUACGCAAAUUAAGUGAUGAUAAAUUAUGGUUGCAUCUCUCAUUCACUACCAUUGAGGUUUAUUAGUUGGACAUUGUUAGUUACAAAGUAUUGAACAAGCAUUUGUGUUGGUAAGUGACUUAAUAACAAAAUCAAAAUGAAGAAAUAUAUGAUCAUGACCAAAGAUUUUAAUUACAAAUUAAAUUUAAAAAAAAAAACGCUAUUUUGUAAGUUUCAAGAUAGGAUCAACACUGCAUCAAUUUAAAGCUAAACCUUAUUUAGUCUCUGAUUUUGAGCGAUCAAUUCGGUUAUAUGAUGCAUUUGUCUACCAUUCUAAGAAUUGCAACUCGAGCACGACAGCUCGUUGUAAGAAUGUGUAAUUAUAAAUGUACAAGUACAGAAACUUUAACAGAGUACCUAUGGAGGACAGAAUGUCUAUCUUCUUUGAGUGUACGUUAUAAAU